UAGGUUCCCUUGUUUCCAAAU
rnacentral:miRNA from 1 species